GACGCGAGAGAACAGGGCAGCGAAGAGUUAACCAUUACCGCUGUCUUUGGGGAGAUGGUGAUGUAAACCCUAAACCAUGUGACACUUUAAUAAAUCAUAGCGCCGACAGAAACAAACACGCCACUGUUCCAUCGACGGCCGAACAAAAACAGCAUUCUUCGCGUCUAAACAAAGAUCGCAGAGGGGGAAGAGUCCAGAUACAGAGCGCGCCCAGAGGAGAGAGAGAGAGAGAGAGAGAGAGAGAGAGAGAGAGAGAGAGAGAGAGAGAGAGAGAGAGAGAGAGAGGAGAGGAGAGGAGAGAGGAGAGGAUGUGCUGUCUGCCGGUGGAGCAGACUUUAGGCGCGCUCGGAGACUCCGUUUGCGCGCACGGAUGCGCUCCGCUGCCGUUUGCGCACCGGCUGCGCUGGAUCGGGGACCGGCUGGAGAAGAGAUGGGCUGCGAACGACAAAGGCUCCGGCGGCGGACGACGAAGCGGCGGGGAAAGCAUCAUCAAAAGCUUCCACAUAGUGUGCGCGGUCAUUCAAGUGACGCUUCUGGUGUUUUUAGUCAAAAAGCGACACCUGUAGGUCAGACGGGGCUCUGCUGAUCUACAGCGACGGCAGCAACAGUAGAUGAAUCUUCAGAUUCUCCUGGGAUGAUCCGCUCCAGAAGACGCCGGUCACGUCUGCACUCUGUAGAAACCUGCCAUGCAAACAGUGGGUCGAUGUUUUCUCAUCCAUGUAUAUCACAACAUUUGCAGUAGUGUUGUAACGGAAACACGCAACCACCGGACGCGCCCGCGCCCGCGCUGUACAUUACAAGCAUGCCGAUCACUUUUUCCGUAACGACCGACGCUUCAUCCCGAAGUCUUCUCGACGACCGAAGCGCCACGAGUCGAUGUCAUUUGGUACGCGUUUGUUUUGGUUAGAAGUCUUAAGGUCAGUGCAGUCAAACCCAAGCGGGAUGCCGCCUGGGGAACCUUUUCGAAAAUAAAAGGCUGAUGUCAUUGUCCCUUGGCGUUUGCGAGGAAAUUUUUCUACCACUGUGGCAAUAGGAGCCUCGCCUCAACUUUAACGAGCUUACGGUUGAGUUUUAGUCGUCGUCGGGGAAAGUCAAGAGGGUGCUUUGGAUAUGCAAAAGCUGUAAAUGAUUAAAACGCGAUCGGUCGAGGUCAAUCUUCGGAGGAGAGCUACCAAAAAAACACUGCUACCAAAACCUCUCCUCUGCACAAUGCACUGUAACGUUUAGUUAUAAGCUACUGUAAGUGACUAUGCCGUUCGAUAUCUGAGCUGUGAUUUGGUUUCUUUGUUGUUUUUAUGAGAUAUUUAUUACUUCGUUCGUUCGUUCUUUACACUGUACUCUUCUCAAUGGAAAGCAUAUUUAUACCGUAGAACGAUUUUAAGUGUAUUUAAACUUGAUGUUUACAAAUGAAGACAAAUCUUUUUUUUUAGACUUUUUAUAAAGGGCUUCUGGCUUGAUCGUUUGUGUCAGUGUUAAUAUAGAAAUGUGACAUGAAUGAGAUUUCAUGCGAAAUGUGAAUCAAAGGGCAUGCUACCGAUGUUUACAUAAGCUACAAUCUUUUAUAGUUUACGUUACUACCACGUGUUUUAAACAUGUUUUACCUCCGCUAUUUUGAUAUUGUGAAUUUUUUUGUCAUUUAUGAAAAUAAAAGGCUUUAAAUAUA